rnacentral:rRNA from 1 species
UUUUCCGGUUGAUCCUGCCGGACCCGACUGCUAUUUGGGUGAGGAUAAGCCAUGCGAGUUGAAUGGGAUACCUAAAGUUCCCAUGGCAAACUGCUCAGUAACACAUGAUCAACUUGCCCUAUAGAGAAAACUAACCUCGGGAAACUGAGGAUAAUGUUUCAUAGCUGAAUUGGCUUGGAAAAGUUUUUCAGUAAAAGGGAUAAAAAAAAUGGUUUUUAUCUGCUAUAGGAUAGGAUCGUGGUCGAUUAUGGUUGUUGGUGAGGUAAUGGCUCACCAAGCCGAUAAUCGAUAGGGGCCGUGAGAGCGGGAGCCCCGAGAUGGGUACUGAGACAACGACCCAGGCCUUACGAGGCGCAGCAGGCGCGAAACCUCCGCAAUACACGAAAGUGUGACGGGGUUACCCAAGGUGUUCAUUUUUGAACUGUGGUAGGUGAGUAAUGUUCCCUACUAGAAAGGAGAGGGCAAGGCUGGUGCCAGCCGCCGCGGUAAAACCAGCUCUUCAAGUGGUCGGGAUAAUUAUUGGGCUUAAAGUGUCCGUAGCCGGUUUAGUAAGUUCCUGGUAAAAUCGGGUAGCUUAACUAUCUAUAUGCUAGGAAUACUGCUAUACUAGAGGGCGGGAGAGGUCUGAGGUACUACAGGGGUAGGGGUGAAAUCUUAUAAUCCUUGUAGGACCACCAGUGGCGAAGGCGUCAGACUGGAACGCGCCUGACGGUGAGGGACGAAAGCCAGGGGAGCGAACCGGAUUAGAUACCCGGGUAGUCCUGGCCGUAAACGAUGCAUACUAGGUGAUGGCACGGCCAUGAGCCGUGUCAGUGCCGUAGGGAAACCGUUAAGUGUGCCGCCUGGGAAGUACGGUCGCAAGGCUAAAACUUAAAGGAAUUGGCGGGGGAGCACCACAAGGGGUGAAGCCUGCGGUUCAAUUGGAUUCAACGCCGGGAAUCACUAGU